ACACUUUUAUCCAAACGCAUAACUGCUUAUUUUAAAAAUAAGUUUCAGCACUUUCAAAAGUAUUUUUUUAAAACUGCUUUUAUUAAACCCAUCCAAACGGGUCCUAACUCAUGUUUAUUUACUUACAAACUUUAAGAAUAACAAAAUAAUUUGCAACAAUUAUAGCCAUAUCCACCACAGGUUACUUUGUUAUUUCAGGGUGUCGAAAAUACUGUAUGUAUCAAUAUAAAUUAAAACUGUACGUUUAUAUAUAGUAUAAUUUUUCGACGAAAGGUGUCCAAUUCAGGUGACUCAGUCCCUGCUUAUAGACCAAAAUAUGAACAUAAUUCUGUUGAUUUAUUAAUCUUUACUUAAGGAUCCGAUAUAAAAUAUGUAAAUGGACUUUUUUCAUUUAAUUGCAUAGAUUUAUCUUUAAAAGAAUCAGUUUUUAAUUUCUAUCUUUUAUUAGUUGAUUAUGUAUUUUUGCCCCUAUCUCUAAUGUGGUCUCCACUUGUUACCCCAAAACAACGAAGCCAGGAGCCGAAGGAGGGACUUGAAUCCUCAACCUCUUAAAAAAUGAACUUAUCCGUACCAUGACUUAAGUUCUUUAACAACGCGAGACAUGAUUUAUGAGAUAUUAUGAUCAUCAUAAAAUUAAAAAUGACCAAACUUAUGACUUUGACUUAAAAACACUUUUGGUAUUUACUAAAUGUAUGACAAUCUUUAAAAAAUGCUCAUGAACAAAAUAAUUGUGUAUAUACAUAGACACGCCUAAUUAUGUAUAGGCAGAAAAAGUAAAAAAAUGUAUUAUAAUCUAGAGGUUAGAAAUAUUGACAUUGUCUAACUAUAAAAGGGAAUAGUAUCUCAUGUAAUGAUUGAACCACACACUUUUUAUUAGAACUUUGUGAUAUAUAAUAUCAUAGAUGAAAAAUGAGCCUCCAUUGAAAGUUAGUUUCUGAGAUAGAAAUUAAGUGUGAUGGAGAUAUUUUUUAUGAAGUAUAUAGGCACAGGCCACACCAUAUCUCCACCAUUUCCCCUAAUAACAUACAAAAUGUGGAUGUUCAUGAAGGUGAAUGGGGCACAGUUGACUCUGUUAUCUUUUGGAACUUCAUUCAUGAUGGGAAAGAAGUGGUGGCAAAGGAGAAAGUGGAAGAAAUAGAUGAAGAAAAGAAGCUAAUUAAAAAAAAAGAUAAUUGAAGGAGAUAUAUUAGAGUAUUACAAAUCAUUUUAUAUCACUUUUCAUGUUGAGACAAAAGGUGAAAAUAAUUUAGUUACUUUAAUCAUAGAAUAUGAAAAGAAAAAUGCUAAUGUGCCAGAUCCACACACAUUCAUCGAAUUACUCCUCAAUGUAACCAAAGAUAUUGAGAAUUAUCACAUUAAGUGAUACAUAAAUAUUAUAUACGAGGACUCUUUGAAAAUAUCGAUAAAUAUAUGUCGAAUUCUUUAAAAUAAUGUAUUUUGAAAAAAUCGAUAUGAAUAAGAUAACAUUUCUGAAUAAUUGAAACAAUGUAUACCAAAUGCUUGGAUUUAAGUUGUUUUCUCAAAGUCUUGUAAUAAUAUGUGUUGUUAUUAGCGGGUGUACUUUGAAAUGUCUUGUAACAAAAAUAAAAUGAGCGGAUAUCUAAUUUUUAUAGAUAAAUAAAAAAUAAAAGUUGUCA